rnacentral:misc_RNA from 1 species
AACUGAUACUACCUGCGGGAACCUGCGGAGGGAUCAUUAACGAAUAUCUAUGGCGUUGGUUGUAGCUGGCUCCUAGGAGCAUUUGUGCACGCCCGUCAUUCAUAUCAUCUUUCCACCUGUGAACUAUGUGUAGGCCUGGAUAUCCCUCGCUUUGGCAACAAAGCGGAUGCAAGGAUUGCUGCGUCGACAAGGCCAGCUCUCUUUGAAUUUCCAGGUUCUAUGUUUUUUUACACACCCCAU